rnacentral:tRNA from 1 species
CAGGGAGACAACAAAAUGUUUAAUAUUAAUUUUGUCACCUUAGGUCGAUCGGUAUCUCACAUUCUUAAUUUAUUAAGGAUUUUAUUUCCUAAGUUUUUUCUAGGUCACACCCAUCACUUUUCCUGGGCCAUUAGCUCAGGUGGUUAGAGCGCACCCCUGAUAAGGGUGAGGUCCCUGGUUCAAGUCCAGGAUGGCCCAUAUCUCUAUGUUGGGGGUAUAGCUCAGUUGGUAGAGCGCCUGCUUUGCAAGCAGGAUGUCAGCGGUUCGAGUCCGCUUACCUCCACUGAAUCACCACCUCUUCCAUAAUUUAUAGAAUGGAAAUGUUUUGAGUUGUGAUCAAAUUCUGAACGAAUCUAGCCUCUUAAUUAAAUAAUUAAGAUGCUGGACUCAUUGAAUUAUUUUCAUUGUUUUCAGAGAACCUUGACAACUGCAUAGAUUUUUUUUUAAAGACAAUAAGCAUCUUUUAAUGAUGCAGAUUUAUUAUUUGUGCGAAUGCAUUAAUAACAAUUCUAUUAAGCUGAUGCUUCAAUUUUGAAGUUAUU